rnacentral:rRNA from 1 species
GAGUGGCGAACGGGUGAGUAACACGUGGGUAACCUGCCCAUCAGAAGGGGAUAACACUUGGAAACAGGUGCUAAUACCGUAUAACACUAUUUUCCGCAUGGAAGAAAGUUGAAAGGCGCUUUUGCGUCACUGAUGGAUGGACCCGCGGUGCAUUAGCUAGUUGGUGAGGUAACGGCUCACCAAGGCCACGAUGCAUAGCCGACCUGAGAGGGUGAUCGGCCACACUGGGACUGAGACACGGCCCAGACUCCUACGGGAGGCAGCAGUAGGGAAUCUUCGGCAAUGGACGAAAGUCCGACCGAGCAACGCCGCGUGAGUGAAGAAGGUUUUCGGAUCGUAAAACUCUGUUGUUAGAGAAGAACAAGGAUGAGAGUAAAAUGUUCAUCCCUUGACGGUAUCUAACCAGAAAGCCACGGCUAACUACGUGCCAGCAGCCGCGGUAAUACGUAGGUGGCAAGCGUUGUCCGGAUUUAUUGGGCGUAAAGCGAGCGCAGGCGGUUUCUUAAGUCUGAUGUGAAAGCCCCCGGCUCAACCGGGGAGGGUCAUUGGAAACUGGGAGACUUGAGUGCAGAAGAGGAGAGUGGAAUUCCAUGUGUAGCGGUGAAAUGCGUAGAUAUAUGGAGGAACACCAGUGGCGAAGGCGGCUCUCUGGUCUGUAACUGACGCUGAGGCUCGAAAGCGUGGGGAGCGAACAGGAUUAGAUACCCUGGUAGUCCACGCCGUAAACGAUGAGUGCUAAGUGUUGGAGGGUUUCCGCCCUUCAGU